UCAACCCAGCGUGCCGCGAAAGCUCUCUGGUCCUUUCAAGCCACACACGCGAAGCGCCGCGACCUCGGCUUUUCCCUCGUUUCCAGCAACUUACUUACUUUUAUUUUCUUUGGUUUGUUUUGUUAAAAGUUAUCAGACCGUUAAGUUACACAAUUUUAAUUCAAGAACGACCAAGUUCUUUUAAGCUUUAUUCAUCAAGCUAACUUACACUGCUUCCACCGACACCAGCCAAGUGGGCCCGCCAGCAUUAACAAAGGACGACCAAACCUUUAACCCGCGCCAGAGAUGUAAAGGCCUCCCACUGCAGGUUUUCUUCAAUAAGCCGACCAAGACGGACCUCCGGAGCAAUUCCCUGGCAGAGAAAGCGACUGGCCGACGGCUUUAAGCUGUCCUAACCGAGAACGCACGGAACUCCACCAGCGUGAGGCCGCCGACCAGCAACCCGGCUGGGAGAAACGACAAGCAGAACAACAUGAGAUGCCAUCCGACCCUCCGUGGCCUCCCAGUGAACCUGCUAGCGGAUGACUGACGUCUUCAAAACCUGCAAUGUAAGUACUCAGUGUGCUCACAGAAAUGUCAAUAUCAACCACAAGCAGUAUGAAAUGUAAAUGUAAAAUUCUACGGAAAACCAACUCAAAUACCUCUUCCAGCAACUGACAGUUUUAAAGAGAUGAAAGGGUAGGUUUGUGGGGGGGUUUUGUAGUCUAUCUCGAAACAAUACUAAAAUAUGAUGUGUACAGUGAAAGUUAUUGUUGGCUAUUAGCAUCCCCUUCAUAGGCAUGGCCAAAUUGUUAGAAAUUAGGGACAAAUCGCCACUUCUCCUUUCAUGAAAAAAUUUUUCCCAAACCUCCGAAGACCUGGGCUUUGAUUCUGUGUGUAUUUAUAUUAGUUGCAUUGUCUUUGAACAGGACAUACUUUUACAAGAAAAUGAGUCUGUGUACCCAAUGUGUAACAAAAAAGAAACGGACAUCAGAACAUGUUCGGCAAGUGACCCUAUAGGGCACAGGCAUGUGCCCAUUAACGAGUAAGUCUAAGUUGAGCAGAAUGAAGUGAAGGGAUCCCAAAACUUAAAAAAGUCUCCAUAUAAAGACACAGGAUUUUAGGAGGCUAAGUUUAGUUAAAGCUAAAUAAGGGUUAAGCAGUCUAGUUAAAAAUUAAAAGGAUAUUGUUGUUGGGUCAUUGUGUUGGUUUACUGUUAGAAGGAAGUAUCACACUGCUGCAGCUCAGCAAGUAAAGACACAAAGUGUUAACUACUAAAAAUACUUAGGAUAUGUUUUGUGACUUGUCUAAGUCAGACUGUUGAAGUCUCAUAACUGUUUCUAAUGAACUUUAGAAUCUUGUCCUCAUUCACUUACAGUUGAGUAACAUUAAGAAAGCGUUAGAGUCAGUAUAGAUAGAAGGAUUCAUAACAGCCGCCAUUAACUCUUAACAUUUUGGCAUGUGAGUAUUGUAUCAAGACAGACUUGGAAAAAAUACAAAAUAUGCUUGGUGUGGGGGGCACCGAUGAGCAUAGAGUGCUAGUGCGUUCUUUUAUAAUUAUCCUCAUAAUUGGAUUGUUUUUUUUUGCAGUGCAAAGAUGAAUCAGACAUCAUUGCUGGCACUUCUCACUGUGGUGACUGACACUGACGCUCCUUGUGCAGUCCGCUUCAGCCACAGUGAAAGGUGGCUGUGGAUGGAUUUGUUAGUUUCUCUGGAGGUGGUGAUGGGGCAGUGGGUUCAGCGACCUGUUCGCCUGGGCGGAAGAAUACGAGGACUCCCAGACCAAGCCUCCCAAGUCCCGCCAUAAGGCUCUGGCCUCCUCGCCUCGCUCCCGGAAAGGAGUGGGUCUGCCCGCAAACGAGGAGGAGAUCGCCCCACCUCAACCUGCUCCUCUGUGUGAGGACAACCUGAAUCUGUGUCUUGUUCUUUGGUUGGUCCGUUUCAAAACUAUGAUCUUAGGGCUUAAAAUCGGUCUCUAGCAACGUAUUUGAAGCCUACUGUCGCUGUUUAAUGAAUGAGCGCCACUAUUAAAAUUUCACACGAUCGUUAAUGAUUUUCAGUAAACUACAGUAACAAUCAACGCAUGGCUGUCUCCCUCUACUCAUUCUUUAAAGGAUGAGCGAAUGUGAGAGAGCGGCAGAAAGUGACGGUGAAAGUUAGCGGAGGAUAAGAUCAGCAUUAAGUUGUUAUGUUACAGCUCUGUCCUCUACUGUACAUCUUGAUCGUUAAAUUAAAAAAGGACGGUGUUGACCACGGAGGAGCUGAGGUUAGUAACGUUAAAGUAAAUUAGGGAUGCAAACUAACGCUAGUCCUUUUAAGCUAAUGAGGAGAUUAUUCUUUUGGAUUUUGAUGUACAAAUGAAAUGCUUGUAGUAAUGCAGAAGGGAGGUGGGUCUCAUGUUGCCUAUUAUGUUAAUUUCUACAAAUGUAUAAAGCAGUAAAUUAAGACACAAAAGGCAAACAUGAAUAAUCCUAUCUGUAAUGAUUCUGAGGUCAUGUGUUUCCCUGCCAUUAUAAGAUGGUGAGGCUUGGUGCUGCGCAAUGAAUAUAAAAUCAUUGUGGAAAGCAUCAAAACAAACCAAAUGAAUUUUCCCAGAUCUAAUGGUUAUAAUUCAACUCCAGUAGACUUAUUUAGCAAGUUUAGAUUUUGGGGGGUAGUUUAUUAUUAAUCUGCUCUAGAUUUUCCUACUUAUUCACUUAUUCAGUGUUCCAAAAUUAUGAGGAAUUGCAUAUUUCUUUAUUGGAAAACAUAAUUUUCUUAUCCCCAAUCCCCCCACACAAAAAUACCAUCUUAUUUUUUACAUUAUACCAUUAUACUAUAUAUAGUGUGGGACUUCUUAUUUUAAACAAUCUUUAUUAGCUACCUUUAUUUGCUUAUGAUUCCAUAAAACUCCACAUUUAAAGCUCCCUUUUAUAUUAUUUAAGUAAAAGUGCUGGUGAUGGAAUAAAGUUAUGCAUAGUCGCUUUUUCCACAAAACACAGUAAAUUAGGUAGUAAAAGGAAAUUUUGUUUAUCUCAAAGGAAUUUCUUUGCUCAAGAGAUUAAAGUUAUCACUUAACACCUAAAAAUAUCAUUAAUAAUCAGGAAAUAGAGAAUGUUCAACAUUAUUGCAAAAACGAAUGAAAACAAAUUGAUUAUCUAAAUUGUUGCUGGUUAAUUAUCUGAUCAAAGCAGUCAGUUACUUUGUCUAUUCAGCUUUAUGCUAGAUGUGCCUUAUUGUGUCAAAUGUAGAAAUGACGGAAGAUGUUGUGAGAA